UUGCGCCUGGUUUAACAAAAACAUUGCCUUUUGUCUAAUAUAUAAAAGGUUCAUCCUGCCCAGUGACAAAUUUUUUGUUCAACGGCCGCGGUACCCUGACCGUGCAAAGGUAGCAUAAUCAUUCGCCUUUUAAUUGAAGGCUAGUAUGAAUGGAUAAACGAAGGCCCAUCUGUCUCUAAAGUAAUAAUUAUAAAUUAUCCUUCAGGUGAAGAGACCUGAAUAUAAAAAAAGGACAAGAAGACCCUGUUGAGCUUUAUUUUUGUUUAUUAAUUUAUAACAACUUCUAAGCACACACUAUUAAUCUACAAAAUUCAGUUGGGGCGACUAGGGAACACCUAAAACUUCCCUUUAAUUCUAAGAUUACCAAAUCUUUACUCUGAUCCAAAUAACUUGAUCAAAGAAUCGAGCUACCACAGGGAUAACAGGCUAAUCCUCCUUAAGAGCCCAUAUUGACAGGAGGGAUUGGCACCUCGAUGUUGGCUUAGGGCCCCCGAUAAGCGCAGCCGCUUUUAAUGGUAGGUUUGUUCAACCUUUAAAGCCCUACGUGAUCUGAGUUC
rnacentral:rRNA from 1 species